rnacentral:rRNA from 1 species
UACGUAGGGCGCAAGCGUUAUCCGGAAUUAUUGGGCGUAAAGAGCUCGUAGGCGGUUUGUCGCGUCUGCCGUGAAAGUCCGGGGCUCAACUCCGGAUCUGCGGUGGGUACGGGCAGACUAGAGUGAUGUAGGGGAGACUGGAAUUCCUGGUGUAGCGGUGAAAUGUGUAGAUAUCGAGAGGAACACCUGCGGCGAAGGCGGGUUGCUGGGCUGAUACUGACGCUGAGGAGCGAAAGCAUGGGGAGCGAACGGG